rnacentral:tRNA from 1 species
UUUAUCAGUAGGUUAUUUAAACUGGCAAAUUGUGGUUUUGUUGAUUACAUAUUUAAUAUUAUAGUGUACUGAUAAAU